rnacentral:lncRNA from 1 species
GUCCGCUCUCUCUAUAUGAGAUUCGGUUCAAUGGGUGUAAACGGUCACAGUGGGUCGGGUUUGGAGACGACAAUUUUCAAAUUUGCCUGCUGAACGACGUGGUAAUUGCCUCUCGUGCCGUCGGAGGUUGCGUCUGUCGGGUUUCUUGGUUGGUCUGUGCUUGGAUUCUUCAAAUUGGUUUGUGUCAGGUUGGCUGUUCGGAAGCUGCAGGAGCCGUAGCUUCUAGGUUUGAGGGCGCCUAUCUCUCGCUAGCUCGUGGCAACUGGACUUUCUCUUCGACUUUUCCGGCCUGCUUGGUCAUAGCAU